rnacentral:rRNA from 1 species
CAGUAGCCGCGGUAAUACGAAGGGGGCUAGCGUUGUUCGGAAUUACUGGGCGUAAAGCGCACGUAGGCGGAUACUUAAGUCAGGGGUGAAAUCCCAGAGCUCAACUCUGGAACUGCCUUUGAUACUGGGUAUCUUGAGUAUGGAAGAGGUGAGUGGAAUUCCGAGUGUAGAGGUGAAAUUCGUAGAUAUUCGGAGGAACACCAGUGGCGGAGGCGGCUCACUGGUCCAUUACUGACGCUGAGGUGCGAAAGCGUGGGGAGCAAACAGGAUUAGAGACCCGUGUAGUCCCUGUCUCUUAUAC